ensembl:lncRNA
UUGUAACGGGGCCAGAAGACCUGAACCAAUAACUUCUGGGGCAUGUACUGAACCAUCUUUGGUAAACCCAUCCCACGCCUCCAGAGGGCACAAGAGCACAUCAACUAGAGUAUAGGGACACAGUAUACACUCUGUUCUCUUCUAGCCCAGUUGAAGUGAAGCAGCCUUACCUCAAGUGACACUGCCACAAAAGUAGGAUAACUCAACCCCAUAUUCCAAACUAAUACAGUGUAUCAUUGAUAUGAUUUAUGUCAUAUUAUAAAUCAUGGGUUAUUUUCUUACAGAAACAUGUGGGGUGUUGAGAAAUCACUGUGAACUAAUCCUGGUCUGUGUUGGACUCCUCUGGGCUACAGCAUGACUGAACAGUCCAAAACAGCUCAGUUAGAGUAUCCACUGUCUGUCUAAACAUAGAAAUAGAGGCCAGGCUUCAGGCAGAGCAUCCACUGUCUGUCUAAACAUAGAAAUAGAGGCCAGGCUUCAGGCAGAGCAUCCACUGUCUGUCUAAACAUAGAAAUAGAGGCCAGGCUUCAGGCAGAGCACCCACAGUUAUAGCUAGCAUACUGCUGUCAGAGAGAGAGAGAGAGUGAGACAGAUAUAGCUA